rnacentral:rRNA from 1 species
GUCCACGGCCAUGCCACCCUGAACAAACCCAAUCCCGUCUGAUCUCGAAAGCUAAGCAGGGUUGGGCCUGGUUAGUACUUGGAUGGGAGACCACCUAGGAGGACCAGGUGCCAUAGGUG